rnacentral:rRNA from 1 species
AUUGAACGCUGGCGGCAUGCCUUACACAUGCAAGUCGAACGGUAACGGGCCUUCGGGUGCCGACGAGUGGCGAACGGGUGAGUAAUGCAUCGGAACGUACCUUUCAGUGGGGGAUAACGUAGCGAAAGUUACGCUAAUACCGCAUAUUCUGUGAGCAGGAAAGCAGGGGAUCGCAAGACCUUGCGCUGAUUGAGCGGCCGAUGUCAGAUUAGCAAGUUGGUGAGGUAAAGGCUCACCAAGGCGACGAUCUGUAGCGGGUCUGAGAGGAUGAUCCGCCACACUGGAACUGAGACACGGUCCAGACUCCUACGGGAGGCAGCAGUGGGGAAUUUUGGACAAUGGGGGCAACCCUGAUCCAGCCAUGCCGCGUGAGUGAAGAAGGCCUCGG